AUUCAAGAGUGAACCAUUGUAUCUCUCUUUUGGGAAAAGAUGAUGUAAACCACACACCAUGUGACAAUGUAAUGAAUAAUACAGUGGAUGGGGAGAGAAAGGGAGAGAAAGGGGGGACGCAAACACAGUCAAGGUUUGAUGAGAGAAGAGAAGGAGGGUCAUAUAUUAUCAAGACGUAUAGAGAGACUUGUUGUUCUUUCAGGGAAAGAUGUGCUGGCUACCGAUAGACCAGCUUUUGCUCCAGCCUGGUGACACCACCUGCAAUGCCCGCCUACCCUCACCGUGCUCGGUGGCUCAGCUAUUGGCUUCUCGCCUGCGGAGGAUCGGGGACCAGCUGGAGAAAAGCUGGACGGACGGGGAGACGGAAAGCGGCAUUAGCUGUUGCAGAAAGACGGUUAAGGUGACUGGGAAAGGACACCUGAAGAGCUUUCUGUACACUGCUAUACACCUCACCGUGCUCGUGCUAGUCGUCGCGAGGCGACACCUGUAGAGCGCGAGGCGGGCACAGUAGCAACAGAUGGUGCCUUUAGGAGUACCAUACGAGGAACGGCUAACAUCAUUUGCACUGAAAGCAAGGAUGCAGGAGUCUGAGGAGGCGGUCAUGAAUGGAGGUGUGCAGCGAAUAUGACCCACAAAGGGAGAGGAAGCAGCGGAUUUAAAAGCGUGUUUCAGGGUCGGAACUUUAAGACUGAAUAAACUCAAUGUGUCAUGAAGACUUCCUUAGGCCAUGGCAGUUUUAUAACGAGCUGACAGUGACACACUGAACCCUCAGCAAGCCCGUCCUGCACCCAUGUGCCUCUCCGACUCUGUCAUCUCAGUUACAAAACGGUGAUGUAAUGCUCCCCUGGUGGUGUGCAGGGAAAAUCUUACGAAUACAACUAAUUUGACUUCCACCGCACCCACCACGAUGUGAGUGCACAAUGACAGAGGUUAGACUGAUUCAACAUUCAAAUGUAUGUUAAGCUACAGUUAAGGCUAAGUUAAAUAAGCUAAGUGUAAAAAUGUAAAUACUGAGAGGAUGAAUGUUUUUAUAGAUGUUUUCUACAGUGUUUAGAUGAUGUUUAAACAUUCUUCUGUGCUUUAUUAUAAUUAUCAGUUGGGGGCAGUGUUAAGUGGCUUUUUGUCUUAAAGAUACAGGACCUUUUCAUAGGAAGCUAUGCUGUUAAUGCUGUCUGUGAUACUGGAAAUAAGCUUUCUCUGAUAUAUCAAGUGUAAUGUGAGCAGCAUUUCUGGAACUGUCUUUUAUAAAGUGUGUGUUAUUUAUACUAAUUAAAUAUUUCAUAUGGAUUUUUAAUAAUUGAUAAUAAAAUGUUUCUGAAGUAAAUUGUCUGCAGGUGUCAUUACAAAAAAACAAGAAAUACACUUGACAAAGUAAGCUAAAGUGCUUUAAUUUAAAUCUGAAAAACCUGCAAUGCAUUUUGCAUUAAAGUCAUGUGGUAUACAAUGCAACCCAAGGAUGAAUUGUUCUAAAUGUAAUGAUUCAAAAUAAAAAUAUUCAAAA